UACGUAGGGUGCAAGCGUUAAUCGGAAUUACUGGGCGUAAAGCGUGCGCAGGCGGUUAUAUAAGACAGUUGUGAAAUCCCCGGGCUCAACCUGGGAAUUGCGAUGGAGACUGCAAGGCUAGAGUCUGGCAGAGGGGGGUAGAAUUCCACGUGUAGCAGUGAAAUGCGUAGAGAUGUGGAGGAACACCGAUGGCGAAGGCAGCCCCCUGGGUCAAGAUUGACGCUCAUGCACGAAAGCGUGGGGAGCAAACAGG
rnacentral:rRNA from 1 species